rnacentral:rRNA from 1 species
UCGAGCGGUAAGGCCCUUCGGGGUACACGAGCGGCGAACGGGUGAGUAACACGUGAGCAACCUGCCCCUGACUCCGGGAUAAGCGGUGGAAACGCCGUCUAAUACCGGAUAUGACCUGCCACCUCAUGGUGGCGGGUGGAAAGUUUUAUCGGUCAGGGAUGGGCUCGCGGCCUAUCAGCUUGUUGGUGGGGUAACGGCCUACCAAGGCGAUUACGGGUAGCCGGCCUGAGAGGGCGACCGGCCACACUGGGACUGAGACACGGCCCAGACUCCUGCGGGAGGCAGCAGUGGGGAAUAUUGCACAAUGGGCGAAAGCCUGAUGCAGCGACGCCGCGUGGGGGAUGACGGCCUUCGGGUUGUAAACCUCUUUUACCACCAACGCAGGCUCCGGGUUCUCUCGGGGUUGACGGUAGGUGGGGAAUAAGGACCGGCUAACUACGUGCCAGCAGCCGCGGUAAUACGUAGGGUCCGAGCGUUGUCCGGAAUUAUUGGGCGUAAAGAGCUCGUAGGCGGCAUGUCGCGUCUGCUGUGAAAGACCGGGGCUUAACUCCGGUUCUGCAGUGGAUACGGGCAUGCUAGAGGUAGGUAGGGGAAACUGGAAUUCCUGGUGUAGCGGUGAAAUGCGCAGAUAUCAGGAG